rnacentral:rRNA from 1 species
AGCGUUGUCCGGAAUUAUUGGGCGUAAAGAGCUCGUAGGCGCUUGUUCGCGUCUACCGUGAAAGCCCUGGCUUAACUGUGGGUCUGCGGUGGAUACGGGCUGGCUAGAGGUAGGUAGGGGCAAGCGGAAUUCCUGGUGUAGCGGUGAAAUGCGCAGAUAUCAGGAGGAACACCGGUGGCGAAGGCGGCUUGCUGGGCCUUCCUGACGCUGAGGAGCGAAAGCGUGGGGAGCGAACAGGAUUAGAUACCCUGGUAGUCCACGCUGUAAACGUUGGGCGCUAGGUGUGGGGUCCUUCCACGGGUCCCGUGCCGUAGCUAACGCAUUAAGCGCCCCGCUCUGGGGAGUACGGCCG